GUAGGGGGCAAGCGUUAUCCGGAUUUACUGGGUGUAAAGGGAGCGUAGACGGCGCNGCAAGUCUGAUGUGAAAGNCAGGGGCUUAACCCCUGGACUGCAUUNGAAACUGNUGUGCUUGAGUGCCGGAGNGGNAAGCGGAAUUCCUAGUGUAGCGGUGAAAUGCGUAGAUAUUAGGAGGAACACCAGUGGCGAAGGCGGCUUACUGGACGGUAACUGACGUUGAGGCUCGAAAGCGUGGGGAGCAAACAGGAUUAGAUACCCUGGUAGUCCACNCCGUAAACGAUGGAUGCCCGCUGUUGGUCUGAAUAGGUCAGCGGCCAAGCGAAAGCAUUAAGCAUCCCACCUGGGGAGU
rnacentral:rRNA from 1 species